AUAUACAUUUUGUAAAAAAAAAAGUUCUAACAUUGUUUUGUGCUAUCAACAUUGGGAGUUUUUGCUAAAUUUUGUCAUUUUUAGCGGUUUUCUUUUUAAUUUUAUUUCUACAAUCAGGGACACAAUAGGCCCCUGUGCCGCACUUUGGACACCCCUGCAUUAACUGGUACUGAAUAAAGAGUUUAGGUUUCAUGCUACUUUAAAAGGAAAGUGCACUUUUGCACUUUGGCUCGCGGCCUGAGGCGUUGUGAGCGAGUGUGUGAAGCUAGUAGCUAGCUGGCUAGUAGCUAGCCUGUGUGGUGUGGCGAGAUGUCACUACGCCAGUAACGUAGUUCUUGGGCGUAACAAUGUUAAUAACAAUAAUAAUGACAACGCGGUUCAUAUGCAGCUCACAUGAUGGAAAUGGAGUGUUGUCGGUGCUUUUUGGAGGUUUUUCUAGAAGGCUUCCUAGGCGGUGAAGAAGUAGAUUAUUUUCAUUAUGCCUAAUUCACAUAUAUUUACAUUAUUUAGUUGACUUACAUUAUUAUGCAUCAUAAUUAACAUAUAUCUAUAUUACUUUGUUGAUUUGCAUUGCUAUGCAUUAUAGUUUAUAUUCACAUUACUUAGUAGUUACUUGGGCAACAUACUUAAGAUAUUCACGCACACACAUCCUGGUUAUAUGUUAUUUGCUGUGUUGGUCUUGUGAGCCUACAGGGUUCAGAGGAAGGACAACGUUGAUAACAGGAUGUCCCAGGCAAAACCCCCACCGGCUGAGUGCACACAAAUGACAGUUUCACUCCAAUGGACAAGCUUUAUCGAGCAUCUGGUGGACUUCAAAAGAUCUCAUCGCCAACCCCCUGCACGAGCUGAUUGGUCCACGAUCGCCAGACCUCCUGCAUACUACACGAUCUCAAAAUGUAUAAAAUUGCCGGGCAGGGAAAGAAAGGGUGCCUUAUUCCAGCUGCGCUGUAGUAAGACCCGCUUACUUGUAGGCAUACAGGGACUGUUAUAGGCCCGGACGUCUGUACUAGAAACUUUUUGUCAGGAAUAGAUCUCACUGGUUUAUAGUCUUUGGUUUGAUUAUUUAGACUCCCAUAUCCUCAGAUAGAAUUCCACGCUUCAGUUUUGGCACCCAACGUGGGAGGGGGGGAGUUCGGAAGGUGGCUUUUUGGAUGUUGUUUUUUUCUGGUCAUCCCAUUGCUGUUCAUCUCCUGAGUGCACUCUCUCUAAGAAAGGUAAGCGGAAAACCUGUUGAUUUAAAAUCCAAAUUUCUGCAUAUUGACUUUAUCAAAAUUAUGGAGAUGAAGGGAAAUGGUAUAAUGACUGUGAGAAGUAAUUCUUUGUAGUAGAAUACGUCUAGACAUAUUGUGUUAUUUGAUUUGUAUUUUUUUUUUUUUUCCCGGCGGCGACCGGUGAGGUUUAAAUUGGGUUGUAGGCCCUCCAGCGGCGAUCUGGUAAACUACAGGUUUGGUCCUUGUUGGAUAGGUCCAAAAAGAAUUGUUUGUGUGAUUUAGUUGAUAUUUUACUUUAUUUUAUUGUCGGUGACGACCGGUAACGUUUGUUGUGUUUGCCUCCCUCAAGUGGCGAAUUGGUAAACUACAAUAAGUAAGGGUGGAGUCUUUUUCGGCUCGAUCCGAUAAAGAACCGUUUGUGUGAUUGUUUUGAUAUUUGUGUGAUUUUUAAUUUUAACGUGGGUGAGUGUGAAAGUUGUGAGUGACGUGAGAAUGGAUGGAGAGUUUGACCGUGAGUGUGACGAGUAUGGCAGGUGCAGAAGCGCACCUUGGAUGCAAACAGAGGAUUACUUGGCAAAAGUGCAGGAGUGGAAUGGAUAAAAAUAAACAAGGUAAGGAAAAGGAGAAGUUGAAACGUAUGUGGGCUGAGGUUGAAUUAGGCGGUGGAUGAACUGUGUAAUAAAUUUAAAAGGACAGAGUAGGAUGCAAGGUGUAAAGUUAUGCAGUUGAGGGAACAAGUUAAGUUGGCAGGAUGGGUAGCGAAGAGACACGAAGAAAGAAUAAUAGGAAGUAGAUAAACAUAGGGUGUGGUUGCAGCAGCUGAUUUUGGCGGCUGUGGAUUUAACUAAAAAAAAAGUGAUGCUGACUCGCGCUUCUUCAAAUCCACUGGGUUCGGAGUUAAGUGCGCUGGAAGCAUCAUCAGAUAAGAUCAUGCAGACUAAGAUAGACUAAAAGAGGGAAUGUUGUUCUAUUCUAUCCUGAUUUGUGUAACGAGUUUGAAAAACUGUUGUUAAUUUCAGCAAAACUCGUAAAGCAUUAUUGUUAUCUUUUGUAUGAGUAAAUGUUUAUGUCGUAGUUUUGUAUGUGCGAUUGUUGCGUCAGUUUGUGUUGGAGCGUGGUGACGUAGUUACGUCACGAGGCGCGCAUCUUUCUGAAAUGGACAAGGUAAGACGUGAAAUGUGCUUUUUCCCAGAAAGUUGCGUAAAAUGUGUAUGAAGAGUUAAUGUGUUGUGUCGUCGUAGACUGUGUUAUGUUGUAUGUUACAUUGUGGAUGUCUAGUGAGAGUUUGGACUGACGUGUUUAUUGUUGUGUACACUCUAAAAUUACGGUUUGCUAAGGAAGUAGAGGUUAGCUUUGCUAGCACGGUUUACAGUUGCUCAGCAACAGCGUCGCGUCUCUACGACUUCACCGCGGUAUGAGAGACAUGGCGGGUUAUUUCCUGUAAUGCGACUGGCUGGUAAAGUUAAUGUUGACUUUGACGAAGAGACUGAUAAACCUUGGACUGACAAAUAACGACAUGGUUAGAGGACGGCUUUGCAUGGAAAGGACUUGACUGACCAACCCCGCCCUGACUCGCGCCAGAGAACCAGUGUUCAAGUGUCGGUUUGACGAAGGACUUUGAGACUAGAUUUUUGAAAUUGGCAAAAGAGUGGUUCAAGAAAUGCAUGAUAAAUCCAGACAAGAUCGAUCUCAUAGUACACCUAUUCGUGUGGCCACUCCCCCACCGGAGGCUGGUACAGGAAGCCAGAGACGGAGUGAAGCCCCGCCAAAAUAAAACGGAGGAGAGAGUGGAUUAUGAUAACUUUAUUGAAGCAAGAAUGAGUAGCUAAUAAAAACUCAGGACCCGGGAGAGGAGGACAGCCCUCGCCGAGGGAUGUUUCUUCUUUGUGUAGACGGACACGGGCCAGGGGUGGCUGAUGGUGGCAGCAGGGGUCAUUGAAGCGGUGCAUACACACAAGCAAGAUAGCAUCCUAGUGGGGCCUGUUUCCUGUGUGGCUCUUUUGAUCAUUGGGCCAGGAACUGUCCACUGAACCCCAAGCUCAGCGACACCAGCAGGGUGUCCUACCUCCCCCACAGGCAGGACCACCACAAGGCAGAGGCGGUUUCCAAGCGGCCACCAGAAGGCGUGGGAGAGCAUAUCCCUGGACGCCAGGCAGAUGGCAGGCUGAUCAUCACACUCAAGGGGGACAGUACUACACAGAUGCCCCCAGCUGGAGACGACCCCUACUGGCAGGCAUAGGGACGCCUGGGGGGCCUUGGAAGCAUGGACUUGGCAGAACCAAUGCUUCAAUGGAUUGUUAAUGGCCGAAAGAUUCGAGGCUUGGUGGACAUUGGGGCAACUUAUUCCACCCUGAAAACAAACAUUCACAAAUCACAACUGUUUAACAGCAGACCACUGGACACUGAUAUGGCGGGAACAAAAGACUGUCCAUUCUAUUUCCUGAUGGCACAUACCUGGACUGCAAUGACAGCACAAGAGGGGGACAGUGGCUGAUGAAAGCACUUCCAACAGCACAGACAGUGGACAUUUAUUGGGCGGAGCUUGACCCUGAAACACCUGUGUCAAAUAAAGGUGUAUUUACUAUGUUCAACGUGUGGAAACCUUGGAUCUGCUCUUGUGCUACUUAUAUGCAACCCAUCGACCCGCUACAUUGCAUUCUAUUUUAUGAUCGUUACCAUGAUCAAAUGUAUGCCGAUAAAAUAACACCAUUUUUAGGUGCAAACACCUGAGCGCUCUCACUGAUUGGCAGCCCUCCGAGGCGUCUCAGGUUCAAUAUUCACCAUCAUCUAAAGGGUAUAGAAUUGUAAGGGGAGGAUGACUGACUCGGCUGUUCUACGACAUCAGGUACUCUCUCGGGAGCCUGGGAGGGACCUCACAGACAAUUAACUUCGCCAGGACAUGCUGGCCUCAAUCCCGGAGGGGAUGUGGUCCACCGGUCCUUUUGAUGUAGGGUAUUGCUCAAAAUAUGCUGAUAUUGAACUAACUAUUUCUGAUGAACAAGUUGUUUGCAGACAGCAGUAACGUUGGCCGGCUGAAGCUGAUGAGGGCAUGGAGAGCACGAUGUGUGGGCUGUGGGAUGCGGGGGUGCUGGAAGUGUCCAGUUCCCCAUGGUCCACACCUUUAGAGACCGGUGAAAAAGCAGACGGUAAGAGUAACCGUAUGGCACAUGAUUUGAGAGUCAUUAUGAUAUCACAGUGAUUCUAGUACUUCCAGUCCCGGACCCACACAGAGUGUUGACCUCAUUGUCUCCCCUCUAUAAGUGGUUCACAGUGUGGUGAAGCUUUUUCGGUGUGAUUUCAAGGUUUCCAAACAGAAGCUGCAAUGCUGUAGAAAGGCGGUCAUUUUUCUUGGACGUGCAUGGUCUGCCCAGGGCUCAGCCAUGUCUGCAGCCCAUCACUCCUCCAUUUUACAUAAUCCCAAACCAAAUACGGUAAAAUAAAUGCUUUUCUUUCUUAGGUCUCUGCGGCAAGAAUUACAUUCCCUGCUUCGUUGAAUACACCGCACCACUCAGAGCUCACAUUUGUCAAUAAGUUCUUUUUCAGACGGCUGCUGCUUCAGACACUCAGAUGGGAACCUGUGUGCAGCUGCCGCUGUUGUCCGACAUGACUCAUCUUCUGCCACUUUUCUGCUGGUGACUUCUGACGUUUACAUGACUGACCCUUUGGCCCAGGGGGCGGAAGUGCUGGCUUUAUGCUUGGCCUUGGAGGCUGGAGCUUGACAAGACAAGACUAUUUACUGUGACUCUGCCUAUGCUGUGGGCGCCGCUGUCCUCAACCUGCCUGUGUGGCAGCGGACGGGUUUCGUGACAGCUAAAGGUACCCCAAUAGCCCACAGGCCUUUGAUUGAAUGUUUAGCUAAAAGUAUUCAUCUACCUGCUUCAUUGGUUAUUGUGUAAACUGCAGGACAUAGCUAGGCUAACACCCUUUAAGCUAGGGGCAAUGACGCAGCAGACCAGGCUGCAAAAGGCAGGGGGCUGGGUACCGCCCCUCCGAUUUGAUGAUAACUUGUUCUCAGCUGCCUGAUCACCAGCUGGAUAACCCAUUGUCUUUGGACGUUAUUGCGUCCCACCAUCGUUCUGCUUCUCCGGAAGAGGUAAGUUUUUGGCGGUCCAAGGGUGCCUAUCUCACAUCCGACGGGGUGUGGGUGGGCCCCAAUGGGUGUCCUGCUCUUCUUAUGGGUCAGUUGUUUACUCAGGCUCUUUCCGAGGCUCACGGAUUGGCAUAUGUGGGUCCUCUGGUAAUGCUGUCGAAUCUAAACAACUGGUGGCAUUCUAAUAUGAAAGACCUUAUUUAGAAUCAUUGUAACUUUUGUUCCUCUUUUAAGCCCAUUCCAAGUAAUUUGGCUACCGCCCUGUGGCCAGGUGCGGAAAUUUCCCUGGAAGUUUAAAAUCCUAUUGGAAGCAGUUGCAUGCCCUUGCUGUGUCUGUUUCUCAACAGGUUCGUGACUCAGCUGUGCCUCCCUCUGCGACUCCUCCCUCACUUUUGGUCGCUGACAAGGUCUUCCUGAAGAGGUUCUCCAGGAAGUGGUCAGAGCCUAGGUGGAAUGGGUGUUUCCCAGUCCAAGAGGGGUGGAGAGUUAAUUAAUUUAGUAUAAUACAUAUUUGAUGGCUCCGCCAAGGCUGCCCUUUGUCACCGAUUCUGUUUAUAAUUUUCAGGGACAGAAUUUCUAGGCACAGGUGUCAAGGGAGUCCAGUUCGGGGGCACUAGGAUCUCAUCUCUGCUAUUUGCAGACGAUGUGGUCCUGAUGGCCUCAUUGGGCUGUGACCUGCAGCGUUUACUGGGACGGUUUGCAUCUGAGUGUGAAGCUUCUGGGAUGAGACUCAGCACCUCCAAAUCCGAGGCCAUGGUUCUCAGUCGGAAAAGGGUGGAUUGCUCCCUCUGGGUUGGGAAUGAGGUCCUGCCCCAGGUGGAGGAGUUCAAGUAUCUCGGGGUCUUGUUCACGAGUGAGGGAAGGUAGGAGUGUGAGGUCGAUAGGCGGAUCGGCACAGCGUCUGCAGUAAUGCGGUCGCUGUACCGGACCGUCGUGGUGAAGAGAGAGCUGAGCUGGAAGGCAAAGCUCUCAAUUUACCGUUCAAUCUAUGUUCCCACCCUCAUCUAUGGUCAUGAGCUUUGGGUCAUGACCGAAAGAACGAGAUCGCGGAUACAAGCGGCUGAAAUGAGUAUUCUUCGUAGGGUGGCGGGACUCACCCUAAGAGACAGGGUGAGGAGCUCGGUUAUCCGGGAGGAGCUCAGAGUAGAGCCGCUGCUCCUUCACAUCGAGAGGAGCCAGCUGAGGUGGCUCGGGCAUCUAGUCCGGAUGCCUCCCGGACGCCUCCCUGGUGAGGUGUUUCGGGCAUGCCCAGCCGGGAGAAGGCCCCGGGGAAGACCUAGGAGGGAUUAUGUCUCACAGCUGGCCUGGGAACGCCUUGGUGUCCUCACAGUGGAGCUGGAGGAGGUGGUCAGGGACCGGGAAGUCUGGGCUUCCCUACUGAGAUUGCUGCCCCCGCGACCCGGACCCGGGUGUCUUCAACCUUUUCUCCCGUCUCUCGAGCCGAUGUGUGGUGGUGGUGCGGAGGAACAGUACUCUUCGAUCGCCUUCCUGCUAAAAGCAUGACCUGUUUGUAUGCAUUGGUUUCUCUCAUUCUACCGGUAAGUGUGAUUCCGGCUUCUAUAGAUCAUUAGAUGGAUGCGGUCGACUCAGUGGCCCUCCUGCCACCAACACACACUCGAAGACGUCGUGACACCUCCCACCAUUUGGCUCAGCGGACUGAUCCCACUUACGUUGACGCCUUCGGGGUUCCUCAGGGUGUCCCGGAUGAAUACAAACUCGUUAACCAUGUGGAUGCUGGAUUUGAGUCUAUUCUUUCGUGGAUAACUGUUAACCAAAAUGUUUACCGCAUUAAUUAUAUUCAUUACAACAUUCAGCGUUACACAGGCCGGGUUUCAGGCAGUCCAUGAACAGCUGACAGUGACCUCGCUGAUGACCUUCCAGAAUCACAUUGCUUUGGCUGCUGAUGGUAAACUUACCCAAGUACUAGUAGAUGGCCUGCGCACCUUAAACCGUAAGAUGAAAGAUCAUUCGGGUGUGAAUACUUCGUUUGGGACAUGUGGAUGGCUUAUUUUGGGCAGUACAAAAACCUCAUCUCUUCUUUCUUCAAUUGCUGUGUUUGCUACUUUGCUUACCGUAUGUUGUUGUGGCCUCUUUCGAGGCCAAGAGGGGGAAUGAAGAAGUAGAUUAUUUUCAUUAUGCCUAAUUCACAUAUAUUUACAUUAUUUAGUUGACUUAUAUUAUUAUGCAUCAUAAUUAACGUAUAUCUAUAUUACUUUGUUGAUUUGCCUUGCUAUGCAUUAUAGUUUAUAUUCACAUUACUUAGUAGUUGCUUGGGCAUCAUACUUAAGAUAUUCACGCACACACAUCCUUACUUGGGUUUAACCUUUGGCCAGAGCAGACGUGCUAGGUCAACGGUUAUAUGUUAUUUGCUGUGUUGGUCUUGUGAGCCUACAGGGUUCAGAGGAAGGACAACGUUGAUAACAGGAUGUCCCAGGCAAAACCCCCACCGGCUGAGUGCACACAAAUGACAGUUUCACUCCAAUGGACAAGCUUUAUCGAGCAUCUGGUGGACUUCAAAAGAUCUCAUCGCCAACCCCCUGCACGAGCUGAUUGGUCCACGAUCGCCAGACCUCCUGCAUACUACACAAUCUCAAAAUGUAUAAAAUUGCCGGGCAGGGAAAGAAAGGGUGCCUUAUUCCAGCUGCGCUGUAGUAAGACCCGCUUACUUGUAGGCAUACAGGGACUGUUAUAGGCCCGGACGUCUGUACUAGAAACUUUUUGUCAGGAAUAAAUCUCACUGGUUUAUAGUCUUUGGUUUGAUUAUUUAGA